CAUGGGGGCGCUACCAUGCAGUCGAGCGGAACGAUGGAGCUUGCUCCAGGCGUCGAGCGGCGGACGGGUGAGUAAUGCAUAGGAAUCUGCCCGGUAGUGGGGGAUAACCUGGGGAAACCCAGGCUAAUACCGCAUACGUCCUACGGGAGAAAGCAGGGGAUCUUCGGACCUUGCGCUAUCGGAUGAGCCUAUGUCGGAUUAGCUUGUUGGUGAGGUAAUGGCUCACCAAGGCGACGAUCCGUAGCUGGUCUGAGAGGAUGAUCAGCCACAUCGGGACUGAGACACGGCCCGAACUCCUACGGGAGGCAGCAGUGGGGAAUAUUGGACAAUGGGCGAAAGCCUGAUCCAGCCAUGCCGCGUGUGUGAAGAAGGCUUUCGGGUUGUAAAGCACUUUCAGUGAGGAAGAAGGCCUUGGGGCUAAUACCCCCGAGGAAGGACAUCACUCACAGAAGAAGCACCGGCUAACUCCGUGCCAGCAGCCGCGGUAAUACGGAGGGUGCGAGCGUUAAUCGGAAUUACUGGGCGUAAAGCGCGCGUAGGCGGCGUGAUAAGCCGGUUGUGAAAGCCCCGGGCUCAACCUGGGAACGGCAUCCGGAACUG
rnacentral:rRNA from 1 species